AGGUGCCGAGCCUGAGGCGGACAAUGGCAGAGCUGGGUGAAGCCGAUGAAGCGGAAUUGCAACCCUUGGUGGCUGCCGAACAGCAGAAGGCGCAGUUUACUGCACAGGUGCAUCAUUUCAUGGAACUAUGUUGGGGUAAGUGUGUAGAGAAGCCAGGGAAUCACCUAGAUUCUUGCACUGAAAACUCUCUCUCCAGCUGUGUAGACCGCUUCAUUGACACCACUCUUGCCAUCACCAGUCGGUUUGCCCAGACUGUACAGAAAGGAGGGCAGUAGGCCAUCCCCCAGGAAAAUGACAGAAGCAAAGGACUCGUUAUUAAGCAGACUGAAGGGCCAGUAGGGGA